rnacentral:rRNA from 1 species
AGUGAACGCUGGCGGUAGGCCUAACACAUGCAAGUCGAACGGCAGCACAGUAAGAGCUUGCUCUUACGGGUGGCGAGUGGCGGACGGGUGAGGAAUACAUCGGAAUCUACUUUUUCGUGGGGGAUAACGUAGGGAAACUUACGCUAAUACCGCAUACGACCUACGGGUGAAAGCAGGGGAUCUUCGGACCUUGCGCGAUUGAAUGAGCCGAUGUCGGAUUAGCUAGUUGGCGGGGUAAAGGCCCACCAAGGCGACGAUCCGUAGCUGGUCUGAGAGGAUGAUCAGCCACACUGGAACUGAGACACGGUCCAGACUCCUACGGGAGGCAGCAGUGGGGAAUAUUGGACAAUGGGCGCAAGCCUGAUCCAGCCAUACCGCGUGGGUGAAGAAGGCCUUCGGGUUGUAAAGCCCUUUUGUUGGGAAAGAAAAGCAGCAGGUUAAUACCCCGCUGUUCCGACGGUACCCAAAGAAUAAGCACCGGCUAACUGCGU